rnacentral:rRNA from 1 species
GUGAGGAAUAUUGGGCAAUGCCCGCAAGGGUGACCCAGCAACGCCGCGUGGAGGAUGAAGGCCGUAAGGUUGUAAACUCCUGUUAGAGGAGAAGAAUAGUGCCGAUUGGAUCGGUAUUUGACUGUACCCUCAGAGAAAGCCCCGGCUAACUACGUGCCAGCAGCCGCGGUAAUACGUAGGGGGCAAGCGUUGUCCGGAUUUACUGGGUGUAAAGGGCGCGCAGGCGGGAUAGCAAGUCAGAGGUGAAAUCCUACAGCUUAACUGUAGAACUGCCUUUGAUACUGUUAUUCUUGAGUUCGGGAGAGAGAGACGGAAUUCCAGGUGUAGUGGUGAAAUACGUAGAUAUCUGGAAGAACACCAGUUGCGAAGGCGGUCUCUUGGUCCGAUACUGACGCUGAGGCGCGAAAGCGUGGGGAGCAAACAGGAUUAGAAACCCUGGUAGUCC